CACAUGCAAGCCUCCACACCCCAGUGAAAAUGCCCGCAACGCCCUAAAUAGACUUCUGGAGCAGGUAUCAGGCUCAAACCCUGCCUUUAGCCUAAGACACCUUGCUAUGCCACACCCCCACGGGUAUUCAGCAGUGAUUAACAUUAACCAUAAGCGAAAGCUUGACUUAGCUAUGAUUAACAAAGUUGGUAAAUUUCGUGCCAGCCACCGCGGUUACACGAAAAACUUAAUACAAUGGCCUUCGGCGUAAAGCGUGACUAGAGCAACAAUCAAAAAUUUUAAAGAUAAAUCAUUAUAAAGCCGUAAAACGCCACUAUAAAUGAGAAAUACCGUCAACCCUU
rnacentral:rRNA from 1 species